UACGUAGGGUGCAAGCGUUAAUCGGAAUUACUGGGCGUAAAGCGUGCGCAGGCGGUUAUGUAAGACAGGUGUGAAAUCCCCGGGCUUAACCUGGGAAUGGCAUUUGGGACUGCAAGGCUCGAGUGCGGCAGAGGAGACUGGAAUUCCUGGUGUAGCAGUGAAAUGCGUAGAUAUCAGGAGGAACACCGAUGGCGAAGGCAGGUCUCUGGGCUGACACUGACGCUCAUGCACGAAAGCGUGGGGAGCAAACAGG
rnacentral:rRNA from 1 species